rnacentral:tRNA from 1 species
GUUGUGGCUCAGUGGUAGAGCGCUUGCCUUGCACAUGUGAGGCACUGGGUUCAAUCCUCAGCACACA